rnacentral:rRNA from 1 species
GACGAACGCUGGCGGCGUGCUUAACACAUGCAAGUCGAACGGAAAGGCCCUGCUUGCAGGGUACUCGAGUGGCGAACGGGUGAGUAACACGUGGGUGAUCUGCCCUGCACUUCGGGAUAAGCCUGGGAAACUGGGUCUAAUACCGGAUAGGAGCCAUUUUUAGUGGGAUGGUUGGAAAGUUUUUUCGGUGAUGGAUGAGCUCGCGGCCUAUCAGCUUGUUGGUGGGGUAAUGGCCUACCAAGGCGGCGACGGGUAGCCGGCCUGAGAGGGUGGACGGCCACCUUGGGACCGAGAUAAGGCCCCGGCUCCGACGGGUGGGAGCAGGGGGGAAGACUGCACGAUGGGCGCAAGCCUGAUGCAGCGACGCCGCGUGUGGGAUGACGGUCUUCGGGUUGUAGACUACUUGCGCUAGGGACGAAGCUUUUUGUGACGGUACCUAGAUAGGAAGCACCGGCUAACUACGUG